GCUUGAUUAGUGUAGCGAUUAUCACUUCGGAUUCUGAUUCCGCCAACCCUGGUUCGAUUCCAGGAUCGAGCU
rnacentral:tRNA from 1 species